CCUCGUGGAAGGGUAGUGUUUAUUAGAUACAGAACCAACCCACCUUCGGGUGGUCCCCAGGUGAUUCAUAGUAACCGAACGGAUCGCAUUAUGGCCUUUUGGUCGGCGAUGGAUCAUUCAAGUUUCUGACCUAUCAGCUUUCGACGGUACUGUAUUGGACUACCGUGGCAGUGACGGGUAACGGGGAAUUAGGGUUCGAUUCCGGAGAGGGAGCCUGAGAAACGGCUACCACAUCUAAGGAAGGCAGCAGGCGCGCAAAUUACCCAAUCCUGACUCAGGGAGGUAGUGACAAGAAAUAACAACACUGGAAAUUAUAUUUCUAGUGAUUGGAAUGAUGGGAAUCCAAACCCCUUUCAGAGUAACAAUUGGAGGGCAAGUCUGGUGCCAGCAGCCGCGGUAAUUCCAGCUCCAAUAGCGUAUAUUAAAGUUGUUGCAGUUAAAAAGCUCGUAGUUGGAUAUCUGCUGGGAGCAGCCAGUCCGCCUUAACGGGUGUGCACUUGGUGAAUUCUGGCAUCCUCCUGAUUGGUGUCAUCAUCACUUCAUUGUGUUGGUGGCAGCUGUCAGGACUGUUACUUUGAGAAAAUUAGAGUGUUUCAAGCAGGCUUGUUGCCUUGAAUACUGCAGCAUGGAAUAACAAGAUAGGAUUUCGGUUCUAUUUUGUUGGUUUCUAGGACUGAAGUAAUGAUUAAUAGGGACAGUUGGGGGCAUUCGUAUUUAACUGUCAGAGGUGAAAUUCUUAGAUUUGUUAAAGACGAACUACUG
rnacentral:rRNA from 1 species